GCCCCGUUAGCUCAGUGGCAGAGCGUGUCCAUCUCUUUCUUUCGUCUCCUAUAAAUUUCUCUUCUUUCCGCUCCGCUCCUAUAACCUAAACUCUCAAUGGCAAGGCACUGGUUCGAUUCCAGUACGGGGCA
rnacentral:tRNA from 1 species